GGCUGGGUGACUCAGUCGGUUGAGCGUCUGACUUCAGCUUAGGUCAUGAUCUCACGAUUCGUGGGUUCGAAUCCCGCAUCAGGCU
rnacentral:tRNA from 1 species